UCUAAUACCGGAUAACACCCCCUCUCGCAUGGGAGGGGGUUCAAAGCUCCGGCGGUGCAGGAUGAGCCCGCGGCCUAUCAGCUUGUUGGUGAGGUAGUGGCUCACCAAGGCGACGACGGG
rnacentral:rRNA from 1 species